GGCGCUAUCGUCUAGCCCGGUCUAGGACACCAGCUUCUCAAGCUGGGUACACGAGUUCAAAUCUCGUUAGCGCUACCA
rnacentral:tRNA from 1 species